rnacentral:rRNA from 1 species
AUAUUGGGCAAUGGGCGCAAGCCUGAUCCAGCCAUGCCGCGUGUGUGAAAAAGGACUUAUGGUUGAAAAACACUUUAUGCGAGAAGAAGACUUGUUUAGUUAAUACCUAGCGCUAGUGGACGAUACUGCCAGAAUAAGCACCUGCGAACUCUCUGACAUCAACCGCGGUAAUACAGAGGGUGCAAGCGUUAAUCGGAUUUACUGGGCGUAAAGCGCGCGUAUGCGGCUAAUUAAGUCAAAUGUGAAAUCCCAGAGCUUAACUUGGGAAUUGCAUUCGAUACUGGUUAGCUAGAGUGUGGGAGAGGAUGGUAGAAUUCCAGGUGUAGCGGUGAAAUGCGUAGAGAUCUGGAGGAAUACCGACGGCGAAGGCAGCCAUCUGGCCUAACACUGACGCUGAGGUGCGAAAGCAUGGGGAGCAAACAGG